rnacentral:rRNA from 1 species
UACGUAGGGGGCAAGCGUUGUCCGGAAUCAUUGGGCGUAAAGAGCGUGUAGGCGGCCCGGUAAGUCCGCUGUGAAGGUCCAGGGCUCAACCCUGGGAUGCCGGUGGAUACUGUCGGGCUCGAGUCCGGAAGAGGAGUGUGGAAUUCCUGGUGUAGCGGUGAAAUGCGCAGAUAUCAGGAGGAACACCAAUGGCGAAGGCAGCACUCUGGGACGUGACUGACGCUGAGGCGCGAAAGCGUGGGUAGCAAACAGG